CCGCCCUUCCGUGUGUCCGUGAAGUUGUUCCCCCCCCCCUUCCUCGGCCUUAAGCUGGGGACCCGCGUAGCGGGCGGAGUUUCGUGUGGCUGGCGGCCGGCCGCGGUGGCCCGGCCGCCCGAGCACGUGGACCUGAACACCCAGCCCCCCCCUUAACCGGGAGAGCCCUGGGGUGUGAAUGUCGUGGGCGAGGCGGCGGCGCCUCGCCCUUCCUUUGGCUGUGACCCGUGUGAUUGAGCCCCCGCUGUGUUGCUGUGCUGGCCCGUGGGGUCUGGCCUGCAACGGGGGGCUGGGUUUUUUUGUGAGCAGGUCCUCCAUUUCAGGCGCGCGGGUGGAGUGGGGGCUACCCCGGCCUGGUGUUUUUUCUUUUUUUUUUUUUUUUUUCCCCUCGCGGCCCUAAGCCGUGGCACCGAGGCAACGCGCGACGAAGGAUCGUGGGCCCAUGAAGGCGAAAACAAGGGCGAGCGUUGAGAUGCGGUCGUGUCGGGGGGGUGUGAGCAAGACCCCCGGGGCGGGGGGCGCAAGCGAGAGAGGCGCGAGCCUCGUUCUUCCCGCCCCCCCCCCUCCCCCCCGGGCCCGCGAUCCCCGUGACUAGCGCGGGUCGUGCGAUGCGUUGUGUGUGCCUUUUUUUCUUUUUUUUUUUUUUUUUUUUUUUUUUUCCGGUGGUGUCUUGCCGUCCCCUGGCUUUUCCGGAGGGAAGCCGAUCGCUGCGAGGCGGGCGAAAGCCAGUGGCCCGUGGCAUGGUCGGUGGCAUUUUCUCGCACGCUCGGAUGGCGUUUCCCUGGCGAGAGGGGGUGGGGAGCGAAACACGCGUUCCCCCCCCCCUGCCCAGCGGUCCCAUCCUGCCCGUUGUCUCACUAAGGGAGCCAGCCGUAGUCCGCCGCCUCGGGAGCCGUCGGGGAGGCUCGGCGGCGCCAAGCCGCGGAGAGAGGGCCUCUCGGGGACGUGUCCCGGACGCUCGCCACCUGCGCCCCGAGGGGGGGGGGUGGUGGAGCCGGCCGGCGUCGUGUAUACGCCGGGUUUGCCGUUGGUGUUGACUCAGGAGCAAGCGUGUGGCCGUGGGGCCCCGGUCGCCGUUGGCGGCCAUCCUUUCCUGUCUGUGUCCGAUCGAUGAGGCUUUUCGGGUGGCGUCGGAGAGGGCCCCCGGCGGCCCGGCUCUUCCGGGGCUCUCUGUCACGGGGAAGCCACGGUAGCGCCUGGUGCUCGGGCAAGGGCGGUCUCCUUUCCGGUUCGCUUCCCGUCGCAGGCGAGGUGACGCCCCUCCCGCUGCUGGGAGGGCGUCUUUACCGUCCCGGGCUGUGUGACGGCCGCGUGGCCCCGUGAGCCCUCAGGUGUCCUUCCAGAAAACGAUGCGAGGUGUUGCUGGUGCCGGCCCCGGUCCGGGCAGCUGCCCCGUGGGUGCCGGCCGCGAGCAGCGCUGGGCGGCGGUGCGGCUGGAGCCGAGCCGAGCCGCAGUGGCCAAGAAGAGAGCGUGAGAGAAGGGCGGAAACGAAAGGGGGAUGGCGCGAACGGGGGACGAGAGCCCGUUCCGCGCACGCGCUCCUUGGUCGCGCCGCCGCCUGCUGCCGAGCGAAGCCGCCCCGGCCAAAGGGGCCCCGGUGUCCGGGCCGCGCCCGCCUCGUCGGGUCGCUGUCUCCUCUAGCACGUCCGGUGCUUUGUUUGUUUUUUCCGCACGGCCCGGCGGGGGGGGAAGGGGGACGUGUCGGAGCGGGCUCCGCUCCCGGAGCGGGCCCCUCCCCUUCGGCCCCGGACCUCCUCGCCGGCGGCCCGUCGCGCUCAGCCGCGACCGGGUCGGCGGGCGGGCCGGCCUCGGGGGGGCGGGUCAGCCCCCAGCCGAGACCCGUUCCGCGCGCCGCGCGCGUGACUCGAGCGCGAGGCCGAGUCUCGAACGGGGUGUCGCGGCCCCCACCCCCCCCCUUCCGCGAGAGCGAGAGAGAGAGAGAGGGAAGGAAGGAGGAAAAGGGGGGGGGGGCAGCCCAGCCCCCGCGUCGUCCGAAGCCGAAGCUGCGCAGCGGUCCCGGCUCCUUGCCCGCGGCGUCGCGGGAAGGGCCGGCCGCCGGGGUCGGCCGUCGCCGCGGGGCGUCCCGCCUCUCCCCCCGCCGCGCGGCGGGCGGAGGCGGGUUAGCCCCGCGCCUGCGCGGUGCCGUUCCCCGCCCCAGGCGCCGCCGGGCCGCCACGUCGCCGGCCGCCGCCGCCGCCGCCGGCGCCCGUCGCCGCCACGCCGCCGCCGCCGGCACGCCCGUGAUGCCGCUCCCGCGGGUCGGAGCGGUGAAAGGAGCCGGGGCGGUCAGGGGUUGGCGGGGGCGGUCCCGCCGGCGGCGGGUCCGGGCGUCGGCGCGCUGGCGCGCCUUGCCGCGGCGCCGCCGUGGGUGGCGGC
rnacentral:misc_RNA from 1 species